rnacentral:rRNA from 1 species
GACGAACGCUGGCGGCGUGCCUAACACAUGCAAGUCGAGCGAUGAAGCCUUCGGGUGGAUUAGCGGCGGACGGGUGAGUAACACGUGGGUAACCUGCCUCAAAGAGGGGGAUAGCCUCCCGAAAGGGAGAUUAAUACCGCAAAACAUUAGAUUGUCGCAUGACAGUUUAAUCAAAGCAGUAAUGCACUUUGAGAUGGACCCGCGGCGCAUUAGCUAGUUGGAGAGGUAACGGCUCACCAAGGCGACGAUGCGUAGCCGACCUGAGAGGGUGAUCGGUCACAAUGGAACUGAGACACGGUCCAGACACCUACGGGAGGCAGCCGUGGGGAAUAUUGCACAAUGGGCGAAAGCCUGAUGCAGCAGCGCCGCGUGAGUGAUGAAGGCCUUCGGGUUGUAAAGCUCUGUCUUCUGGGACGAUAAUGACGGUACCAGAGGAGGAAGCCACGGCUAACUACGUGCCAGCCGCCGCAGUAA